AUUGAACGCUGGCGGCAGGCCUAACACAUGCAAGUCGAACGAGUGGCGGACGGGUGAGUAAUGUCUGGGAAACUGCCUGAUGGCGGGGGAUAACUACUGGAAACGGUAGCUAAUACCGCAUACCAUCGGAUGUGCCCAGAUGGGAUUAGCUAGUAGGUGGGGUAAAGGCUCACCUAGGCGACGAUCCCUAGCUGGUCUGAGAGGAUGACCAGCCACACUGGAACUGAGACACGGUCCAGACUCCUACGGGAGGCAGCAGUGGGGAAUAUUGCACAAUGGGCGCAAGCCUGAUGGAGCAAUGCCGCGUGUAUGAAGAAGGCCUUCGGGUCGUAAAAUACUGUCAGUAGGGAAGCGGUACCCGAAGAAGAAGCAACGGCUAACUACGUGCCAGCAGCCGCGGUAAUUC
rnacentral:rRNA from 1 species